AAUCCAUAGGUUAAUGAGGCGAACCGGGGGAACUGAAACAUCUAAGUACCCCGAGGAAAAGAAAUCAACCGAGAUUCCCCCAGUAGCGGCGAGCGAACGGGGAGGAGCCCAGAGCCUGAAUCAGCAUGUGUGUUAGUGGAAGCGUCUGGAAAGGCGCGCGAUACAGGGUGACAGCCCCGUACACAAAAGCGCAUGUGCUGUGAGCUCGAUGAGUAGGGCGGGACACGUGGUAUCCUGUCUGAAUAUGGGGGGACCAUCCUCCAAGGCUAAAUACUCCUGACUGACCGAUAGUGAACCAGUACCGUGAGGGAAAGGCGAAAAGAACCCCGGCGAGGGGAGUGAAAAAGAACCUGAAACCGUGUACGUACAAGCAGUGGGAGCCCCACCACUAAGCCAGUGGUGAACUCCACAUACGCAUCCUUUGCUGAGGAUACGGUUAACGGAGCGAAAGCGACGUUCAACCGCAAAAGAAGCAGAGGGGGCUUAGUGGUGGGGUGACUGCGUACCUUUUGUAUAAUGGGUCAGCGACUUAUAUUCUGUAGCAAGGUUAACCGUAUAGGGGAGCCGUAGGGAAACCGAGUCUUAAC
rnacentral:rRNA from 1 species